rnacentral:lncRNA from 1 species
CCCAACCCCAGCCUUCCCCUGUUGCUGGGGUAACAGCACUGAUGUACAUCUUAUAUAAGUUUUUCAAAGCUUGCCUUUAUUUUUUCUGAGAGACCCUCCCUCAGGAGCCCAGCUGUGAAGUGUGACCUAUAACAGAUGUUGCAGUGGGUGGCACAGACACCUGCCACAUCCUGUUGUGCUUCCAGCAGGGCAGCAACAUGUGCCCAAGGUCUCCAAGUUUGGGGACUGGAGGAACAGUUCUUCAUGGGAGCCCUUGCCCUGCACCUUUCUUCCUUGCUGUCUGGAUGCCAGACACGGGAUGGAUAGCACUGCUGUUUGGGAAGGACAGACAAAGCCUGCAGAGCUUCUCCGGGUCCCAGUCUGGAGACCAGAGCUGCACUGGACGGAAGGCGAGGCAGGGCAGCUCUGCCAUCAGGUGUGACCCUGGGUGCUGCCUUUCAGGUGGGGACAGUUCUCACAAAGGGCUCUUUUGUGCUCAGCUUCCCCUUGCUGGGGCUGCAUUGUCCUCCCUUCAGAAGGGCACAAUGGGGCAUUGUGCAGAGCAGAAAAGGGCCCCUUGUUCUGGCAUCCAGCUCUCGGGCUCAGCUGGCUCCGUGCUCCCUCUCUGGAUUUGCCCAGGGUGGGUGAGGCCAGCGGAAGGGUCUGCUGGGAGCUUGCGUCCUCUGCAGAUCGAGUUUCCUGCUGGGUCUGUCUUCCCAGGAGGCUGUCUGGAACUGGCUCAAGCACAGGUCACUCAGGGCAGAGCUCCCCCAAGGAGUGGCCGGCUGAUUACUGAGAUCUCACCCAUUUCAACCUGAAUUUAAUUGAAACUGCACUAUGGUACUUUUUGCCCAUAAAGGAGAACAACAUUCUGACGUGUGCUACCACAUGGGUGAAACU